GGGAAUCUGCCCCUUGGUUCGGAAUAACAGUUAGAAAUGACUGCUAAUACCGGAUGACGACGUAAGUCCAAAGAUUUAUCGCCGAGGGAUGAGCCCGCGUAGGAUUAGCUAGUUGGUGUGGUAAGAGCGCACCAAGGCGACGAUCCUUAGCUGGUCUGAGAGGAUGAUCAGCCACACUGGGACUGAGACACGGCCCAGACUCCUACGGGAGGCAGCAGUGGGGAAUAUUGGACAAUGGGCGAAAGCCUGAUCCAGCAAUGCCGCGUGAGUGAUGAAGGCCUUAGGGUUGUAAAGCUCUUUUACCCGGGAUGAUAAUGACAGUACCGGGAGAAUAAGCUCCGGCUAACUCCGUGCCAGCAGCCGCGGUAAUACGGAGGGAGCUAGCGUUAUUCGGAAUUACUGGGCGUAAAGCGCACGUAGGCGGCUUUGUAAGUUAGAGGUGAAAGCCCGGAGCUCAACUCCAGAAUUGCCUUUAAGACUGCAUCGCUCGAAUCCAGGAGAGGUGAGUGGAAUUCCGAGU
rnacentral:rRNA from 1 species